rnacentral:rRNA from 1 species
GCGAACGACCGGGUAAUUAGCCCAAACCGAAUCCUGUAUCAUUUUCGGUACYAAAGCUCCUAAAGGUUUGUGUUUUUAAUUGCUAAACAGGCUUCCAAAUUCACUUGAUUGUGAUGUUGUCCAUAGAGGGUGUUAGACCUGUUGGGGCUUGGGAGGCUUUUAUUGAUACUUCUUAUGAGUCGGAUUGUUUGAGAAUGCAGUCCAAAUACGGUGGUAAACUCCAUCUAAGGCUAAAUACUUGUGUGAGUCCGAUAGCAAACAAGUACCGUGAGGGAAAGUUGAAAAGAACUUUGAAGAGAGAGUUAAAUAGUACGUGAAAUUGCUUAGAGGUAAACGAGUGGAGCUGAAAAUGUUGUUUGGGAUUCAGUUGAGUGUCGAUUGAUAUUCGAUUAGUUACAUCUCAACUGGGAGUAGCUUUUCGAUAAUAUUCAGUCAACACUCAAUGCACUUUCCAUUCAACAGAACUGCGAUCGAUAGCGUUAUCUUUCUGUCGUAAUGGUGAAGGUGGUCAUUUCUUCGGAAAUGUCUUUAUAGCUCAUUGCACGGUCAGAUAAUUUAUCGGUAAAUACGAUUGUUCAACAUUUGUAAGGUUUAUAUCGGUCAUUUGAUGGUAGACUAUUCAUCCCUUUGGGGGGCGGAUCCAAAUGUAUUGCCUAUGUUGAGUAGAGCAACUCAAAAUCAGCAGUUUAUUUGUAGGUUACCUACUCGUCCCGUCUUGAAACACGGACCAAGGAGUUUUAUAUGAUCGCGAGUCAAAGGGCAAUACGAAACCCCACGGCGCAAUUAAAGUGAAGGUUUACUUACGUGAACUGAGAUGUGACUAUUACGUGUUUUUAAUCGAACGCGUUUCAUGCAACAUCUACCCGUCUAAAUAUGUUCGCAUAUGGGCGGAGUUUGAGCGAUGAUGUAGAGACCCGAAAGAUGGUGAACUAUGCUUGUGCAGGUUGAAGUCAGGGGAAACUCUGAUGGAGGACCGCCGCGGUUCUGACGUGCAAAUCGAUCGUCGGACAUGAGUAUAGGGGCGAAAGACUAAUCGAACCAUCUAGUAGCUGGUUCCCUCCGAAGUUUCCCUCAGGAUAGCUGGCGUUUGAUGUCGUAGUUUCACCUGGUAAAGCGAAUGAUUAGAAGUAUUGGGGACGAAAUGUUCUCAACUUAUUCUCAAACUUUAAAUGGGUUCGAAGUGUGUCUCGCUUCAUUGGAGAUGCACAUUGAAUACGAAUGCCUAGUGGGCCAUUUUUGGUAAGCAGAACUGGCGAUGUGGGAUGAACCAAACAUUUGGUUAAGGUGCCUAACAUCACGCUCAUGAGACCCCACAAAAGGUAUUGGUUGAUAAAGACAGCAGGACGGUGGACAUGGAAGUCGUCAUCCGCUAAGGAGUGUGUAACAACUCACCUGCCGAAUCAACCAGUCCUGAAAAUGGAUGGCGCUGUAGCGUGAGACCUAUACCGAAUCGUUAUCGCAAGAAUAUCAAAUUUUUUUCCAAAANUUUGUUCAAGUAAGCGGUACGUGUAGGAGGGUGCCGUGGUUGCUUCGUGGGCUCGCGUGAGUAGAGUGGAGCGGCCAGCGGGUACAGAUCUUGGUAGUAGUAGCAAU